rnacentral:rRNA from 1 species
GGGGAAUCUUGCGCAAUGGGCGAAAGCCUGACGCAGCCAUGCCGCGUGAAUGAUGAAGGUCUUAGGAUUGUAAAAUUCUUUCACCGGGGACGAUAAUGACGGUACCCGGAGAAGAAGCUCCGGCUAACUUCGUGCCAGCAGCCGCGGUAAUACGAAGGGGGCUAGCGUUGCUCGGAAUUACUGGGCGUAAAGGGCGCGUAGGCGGACAGCUUAGUCAGAGGUGAAAGCCCAGGGCUCAACCUUGGAACUGCCUUUGAUACUGGCUGUCUUGAGUUUGGGAGAGGUGUGUGGAACUCCGAGUGUAGAGGUGAAAUUCGUAGAUAUUCGGAAGAACACCAGUGGCGAAGGCGACACACUGGCCCAAUACUGACGCUGAGGCGCGAAAGCGUGGGGAGCAAAC